AGAGGUUUAGAAAUCAGUUCAACUUUGAAACUCAUACAGUUUGUACAUAGCAAACAAACGGUGACGACGCGUCGACGGGUUGACACCGCGACCUUCUAAACCAUUUCUUAUCAGAGCAUCCUUGAAUUAAUCAAGGAGAAACAUCGGCCAACCAAAAAAAAAAAAAAACAAAACAAAACAACAAAAUCUUCUUUUAUAAUGUAACAUCAAUAGAAGAAGGAAGGAAGAAAACAAAAAAAAAUUCUUUAAAAAAAAUCCAAAAAAAAAAAAAACCAACUAAAACCCAAAAUGAAAAUCAUGAUUUUCUAUUUUGAAUAAAAUCAAAAAUAUUCAAAAUACAAAAAAAAAAAAAUUAAUUAAAAAAAUGAUAAAAUAAUAAAAAAUUAAAUAAAAAAAAAAUUCGAUGUAAUUUCUAUUUAAAUGUGUGUGUAGUAGAAAUAAAAAUAUUUUAACAAAAUUUUUUCAAUUCUUUUUAAGUUCAUCUCGGUGUUGUAAACGUGUCAACGUGUUUAAAUCUGUGUUCAUCAUACACGGAAAAUAUAUAAAAGAAAAAAUUAAAAUAAAAUAGGAAAUAAAAAUUAUACGCACCUAAAUAUUAAUUAAAAAUAAAUUUCGUUUAUAUAAGAAGGAAAUCAGGAUAAAUAAGGAAAAGCAAAAGAGGAGAAAAAUUUAAAGUUAUAAAGAAAUACAAGGAUUCUUCCAUUCUAGAAAGAAUAAAAUUGAUUA